rnacentral:rRNA from 1 species
UACGUAGGGUCCGAGCGUUGUCCGGAAUUACUGGGCGUAAAGAGCUCGUAGGUGGUUUGUCGCGUUGUUCGUGAAAACUCACAGCUCAACUGUGGGCGUGCGGGCGAUACGGGCAGACUAGAGUACUGCAGGGGAGACUGGAAUUCCUGGUGUAGCGGUGGAAUGCGCAGAUAUCAGGAGGAACACCGGUGGCGAAGGCGGGUCUCUGGGCAGUAACUGACGCUGGAGGAGCGAAAGCCGUGGGGAGCGAACAGGA